CCUACGGGAGGCAGCAGUGAGGAAUAUUGGUCAAUGGGCGGAAGCCUGAACCAGCCAAGUAGCGUGCAGGAUGACGGCCCUACAGGUUGUAAACUGCUUUUAUACGGGAAUAACGCGCCUUACGUGUAGGGCUUUGCAUGUACCGUAUGAAUAAGGACCGGCUAAUUCCGUGCCAGCAGCAGCGGGAAUACGGAAGGUCCGGGCGUUAUCCGGGUGUAUUGGGUUUAAAGGGAGCGUAGGCCGCAUGUCAAGCGUACUGUGAAAUGUCCGGGCUCAACCCGGGCCUUGCAGCGAGAACUGGCGUGCUUGAGUCCGCGGCAAGCAGGCGGAAUUCGUCGUGUAGCGGUGAAAUGCUUAGAUAUGACGAAGAACCCCGAUUGCGAAGGCAGCUUGCUGCAGCGGAACUGACGCUGAUGCUCGAAAGCGCGGGUAUCGAACAGGAUUAGAUACCCCAGUAGUC
rnacentral:rRNA from 1 species